GUCCAUGCCGUAAACGAUGAUUACUAGGUGUUGGGGAUUGACCCCCUCAGUGCCGCAGUUAACACAAUAAGUAAUCCACCUGGGGAGUACGACCGCAAGGUUGAAACUCAAAGGAAUUGACGGGGCCCGCGACAAGCAGUGGGAGUAUGUGGUUUAAUUCGAAGCAACGCGAAGAACCUUACCAGGUCUUGACAUCCGAUGCAUAACACAGAGAUGUAGUGAAAUCCUUCGGGACAUCGAGACAGGUGGUGCAUGGUUGUCGU
rnacentral:rRNA from 1 species